AGAGUUUGAUCAUGGCUCAGGACGAACGCUGGCGGCGUGCUUAACACAUGCAAGUCGAGCGGUAAGGCCUUUUGGGGUACACGAGCGGCGAACGGGUGAGUAACACGUGGGUGAUCUGCCCUGCACUCUGGGAUAAGCUUGGGAAACUGGGUCUAAUACCGGAUAUGACCACAGCGCGCAUGUGUUGUGGUGGAAAGAUUUAUCGGUGCAGGAUGGGCCCGCGGCCUAUCAGCUUGUUGGUGGGGUAAUGGCCUACCAAGGCGACGACGGGUAGCCGACCUGAGAGGGUGACCGGCCACACUGGGACUGAGACACGGCCCAGACUCCUACGGGAGGCAGCAGUGGGGAAUAUUGCACAAUGGGCGGAAGCCUGAUGCAGCGACGCCGCGUGAGGGAUGAAGGCCUUCGGGUUGUAAACCUCUUUCAGCAGGGACGAAGCGUGAGUAACGGUACCUGCAGAAGAAGCACCGGCUAACUACGUGCCAGCAGCCGCGGUAAUACGUAGGGUGCGAGCGUUGUCCGGAAUUACUGGGCGUAAAGAGUUCGUAGGCGGUUUGUCGCGUCGUUUGUGAAAACCCGGGGCUCAACUUCGGGCUUGCAGGCGAUACGGGCAGACUUGAGUGUUUCAGGGGAGACUGGAAUUCCUGGUGUAGCAGUGAAAUGCGCAGAUAUCAGGAGGAACACCGGUGGCGAAGGCGGGUCUCUGGGAAACAACUGACGCUGAGGAACGAAAGCGUGGGUAGCAAACAGGAUUAGAUACCCCGGUAGUCC
rnacentral:rRNA from 1 species